rnacentral:rRNA from 1 species
GUCGAGGGGCAGCGGGGUAGUGCUUGCACUACUGCCGGCGACCGGCGCACGGGUGAGUAACACGUAUGGAACCUGCCCGCAGCAGGGGGAUAAGCGGAAGAAAUUCCGUCUAAUACCGCGUAACAACGUUGGGAGGCAUCUCCCGAUGUUUAAAGAUUUAUCGGCUGCGGAUGGCCAUGCGGCGCAUUAGCUAGUCGGCGGGGUAACGGCCCACCGAGGCGACGAUGCGUAGGGGUUCUGAGAGGAAGGUCCCCCACACUGGUACUGAGACACGGACCAGACUCCUACGGGAGGCAGCAGUGAGGAAUAUUGGUCAAUGGCCGAGAGGCUGAACCAGCCAAGUCGCGUGAGGGAAGACGGCCCUACGGGUUGUAAACCUCUUUUGUCGGGGAGCAAAGCGAACCACGUGUGGUUCAUUGAGAGUACCCGAAGAAAAAGCAUCGGCUAACUCCGUGCCAGCAGCCGCGGUAAUACGGAGGAUGCGAGCGUUAUCCGGAUUUAUUGGGUUUAAAGGGUGCGCAGGCGGAGGUGCAAGUCAGCGGUCAAAUUGCGGGGCUCAACCCCGUACUGCCGUUGAAACUGCAUCCCUUGAGUGCGCGAGAAGUAUGCGGAAUGCGUGGUGUAGCGGUGAAAUGCAUAGAUAUCACGCAGAACUCCGAUUGCGAAGGCAGCAUACCGGCGCGCAACUGACGCUCAUGCACGAAAGCGUGGGUAUCGAACAGGAUUAGAUACCCUGGUAGUCCACGCAGUAAACGAUGAACACUAACUGU